rnacentral:rRNA from 1 species
UACGGGGGGGGCAAGCGUUGUUCGGAAUUACUGGGCGUAAAGGGCUCGUAGGCGGCCAACUAAGUCAGACGUGAAAUCCCUCGGCUUAACCGGGGAACUGCGUCUGAUACUGGAUGGCUUGAAUCCGGGAGAGGGAUGCGGAAUUCCAGGUGUAGCGGUGAAAUGCGUAGAUAUCUGGAGGAACACCGGUGGCGAAGGCGGCGUUCUGGACUGCAACUGACACUGAAAAACGAAAGCCAGGGGAGCAAACGGG